rnacentral:snRNA from 1 species
GUGCUCACUUUGGCAGCAUAUUUACUAAAAUUGGAAUGAUACAGAGGAGAUUAGCAUGGCCCCUGUGCAAGGAUGACAUGCGAAUUCAUGAAGCCUUCCGUAUUUUU